GAUGAACGCUAGCUACAGGCUUAACACAUGCAAGUCGAGGGGCAGCAUGGUCUUAGCUUGCUAAGGCCGAUGGCGACCGGCGCACGGGUGAGUAACACGUAUCCAACCUGCCGUCUACUCUUGGACAGCCUUCUGAAAGGAAGAUUAAUACAAGAUGGCAUCAUGAGUCCGCAUGUUCACAUGAUUAAAGGUAUUCCGGUAGACGAUGGGGAUGCGUUCCAUUAGAUAGUAGGCGGGGUAACGGCCCACCUAGUCUUCGAUGGAUAGGGGUUCUGAGAGGAAGGUCCCCCACAUUGGAACUGAGACACGGUCCAAACUCCUACGGGAGGCAGCAGUGAGGAAUAUUGGUCAAUGGGCGCAGGCCUGAACCAGCCAAGUAGCGUGAAGGAUGACUGCCCUAUGGGUUGUAAACUUCUUUUAUAAGGGAAUAAAGUCGGGUAUGUAUACCCGUUUGCAUGUACUUUAUGAAUAAGGAUCGGCUAACUCCGUG
rnacentral:rRNA from 1 species